rnacentral:rRNA from 1 species
AUUGAACGCUGGCGGCAGGCCUAACACGUGCAAGUCGAACGGUAACAGGAAGAAGCUUGCUUCUUUGCUGACGAGUGGCGGACGGGUGAGUAAUGUCUGUGAAACUGCCUGAUGGAGGGGGAUAACUACUGGAAACGGUAGCUAAUACCGCAUAACGUCGCAAGCCCAAAGCGGGGGACCUUCGGGCCCCUUGCCAUCGCAUGUGCCCAGAUGGGAUUAGCUAGUAGGUGGGGUAACGGCUCACCCAGGCGACGAUCCCUAGCUGGUCUGAGAGGAUGACCAGCCACACUGGAACUGAGACACGGUCCAGACUCCUACGGGAGGCAGCAGUGGGGAAUAUUGCACAAUGGGCGCAAGCCUGAUGCAGCCAUGCCGCGUGUAUGAAGAAGGCCUUCGGGUUGUAAAGUACUUUCAGCGGGGAGGAAGGGAGUAAAGUUAAUACCUUUACUCAUUGACGUUACCCGCAGAAGAAGCACCGGCUAACUCCGUG